rnacentral:rRNA from 1 species
GAUGAACGCUGGCGGCAGGCUUAACACAUGCAAGUCGAGCGGAGCGAGGGUGCUUGCACCUUAGCUUAGCGGCGGACGGGUGAGUAAUGCUUAGGAAUCUGCCUAUUAGUGGGGGACAACAUUCCGAAAGGAAUGCUAAUACCGCAUACGCCCUACGGGGGAAAGCAGGGGAUCUUCGGACCUUGCGCUAAUAGAUGAGCCUAAGUCGGAUUAGCUAGUUGGUGGGGUAAAGGCCUACCAAGGCGACGAUCUGUAGCGGGUCUGAGAGGAUGAUCCGCCACACUGGGACUGAGACACGGCCCAGACUCCUACGGGAGGCAGCAGUGGGGAAUAUUGGACAAUGGGCGGAAGCCUGAUCCAGCCAUGCCGCGUGUGUGAAGAAGGCCUUUUGGUUGUAAAGCACUUCAAGCGAGGAGGAGGCUACUUAGAUUAAUACUCUGGGAUAGUGGACGUUACUCGCAGAAUAAGCACCGGCUAACUCUGUGCCAGCCGCCGCGGUAA